CUCGACUAAUAAAUUUGAUUUCGACGAGAAAAUAAUGUCGUUGCUCACCGGUUGAAAAAAAAGGAAAAAAUCAAAAAUAGAUUAAUUUGCAGAGAGUGCUAAAGGAUUUGGCUGCUCAUGGCCUCUUGGCCAUAAAUACCAGUGGAUCCGUCCGAAAUUCAAGAUUGCUGGACAGUUACCUUGAGCCAAUUGGACGAAACCGAUCCGUUGUACUUGCGGAAAAAGUUUUUCAAUAAAGUUUGGUGUUUGGUGGUGGAGAUCUUCUGUACUCGAGUACACACCGGAGAAAAGCCAUACAAAUGCAUUUGCUCGAACGAACGACCAUUCGCACAGCUCAAAUAGAUAUUUUACGCUGCACAUCCGGCGGCACACGGAGAAAACGCCGUACGUAACGCCGUAACGAACGAUUCAUCCAGGGGACGGCCUUGCGGCCCAUCAGUGAACCGCAGGUCACUAUAUGAAAGACGUAGAUAUGAACGGUACACGAUGGCGUCAUAAUAGUUCGAUUCAGUGUUUGUGUAUUUUUCCUCAAAGCAUGAUGUGUUUUUCGGUGAUUGGAGAGUUCUGCAGGAGGAUG